rnacentral:rRNA from 1 species
GCGACCCCAGGAUGGGUGGGAUGACCCGC